rnacentral:ribozyme from 1 species
UGCCCAGUUACUUCUAUUCCUUCCUCCGCGUGGUACCGGCUGGAAACUACGAGCAACCUUAGGGAAGAUCAGGUAGCCCCGGUGGGAACUUUGGUCGUAGGCUGACAGGGAAGG